rnacentral:snRNA from 1 species
GUCCAUGUGCACGGGUUUUAACUGCGCCAGUGAGGAUUUCAUCCGAGGCCAGUUUUUUGCUAGUUGAAAACUACCAAAGACCUGAUCUAUUCUGAUCUUUGAUUGGAAUAGUAAUUUCUUUCAAAUCAUCAUUGCU